rnacentral:lncRNA from 1 species
AGCUGAUAUGUCACAAAGACACUCCAGAAGCCUAUGGAGAGGCCCACGUGGUGAGGAACUGAGGCCUCCAGCCCACAGCCACGGAGGAGUGAAGGCUUCUGCCAACUGCCCAGUGAGCAUGCAUGGAAGCAGUCUCCAACCUCGAUCAAACUGCAGAUGACUGCAGACCCCCCGCAUCUCGACAGCAAUCUCAGAAGAGACCCUGGGCCAGAUCUGCCCAGCUAAGCUGCUUCUGAAUUCCUGGCCCCCAGAAAGUGGAUUCCAAAGUGUGGUCCUUGGGGCUCUGUGAAGGGUGCACCUCCAGGGCUUGUUUCUCUGUCAGCUCCCAUUUGAGAGCAAAUGCUGCCACUGCAGGGUCCUCAAUGAGUCUCCAAGGAGCCCAGCUUCGGGGGAUCCCAGAUAAAGUGAGUGCUUCACCACCCUAUCUUCCCUUCUGACCACUGAGGAAGCUUUCGUGGAGGCCAUGGGGAUGCGGGGAAUGGGAGACAGACUUGGAAGAUGAUUUGAGGCCAAUGGUGAAGGACCCUGAGACUUGUUCUACAGGCAAUGAGGAGCUACUGAAGGAUUACGAGAGCAGGCUGACUUGACUGAAGCAGGGCUUCAUUCUAAAGAGAAGAGAGGUAGGAACUGCAGGCCACAAGGGACUUGUAAGGAAACAAUGCUCCUGCCACCUCAAGUGCUCUGUCCUGGAUUUAUGAAAGCCACAGCUAGUAGAGUCCAGGAAAGAGGCAUGGUGUAUCUCACCUGAAUGGUGAGGCUUUGCAGAAGCUCUCUCAGCAGAUGUAAAAAUCAGAAGGGAAGAUCCUGGAUAAAGAAUAGCAGGGAAACUGCCCUUGGAUUCUGUGAUCUGAAACCAGGAGGGAUCAAGAGGUUAAGGAGGUGGCCUUGCAGUAGUGGUGACAGUAAUUGCGGGUCCCACCAGUGGAGACUGAGACAGGGAACAAGUCCCUGGGAGCUGGAGCACAGAGCUGGCCAGCCAGGGGUGGCGUGGACUAGAGCCUGAAGGACUGGGGUACCUAGAGGAGUGCCAGGAGCCAAUACACUGUUCGUCAUCCUGUUUAUAAUUCUGUCC